CAAGCCUGCAAUCGGUACGGGUUGUGAGAGCAAGAGCCCGGAGAUGGGUUCUGAGAAAAGAACCCAGGUCCUACGGGACGCAUCAGGCGCGAAAACUUUACAAUGUGCGAAAGCACGAUAAGGGAACUCUGAGUGCCUCCUAUGGAGGCUGUUCAGGUGUCUAAAAAGCACUUGAAGUAAGGGCUGGGUAAGACCGGUGCCAGCCGCCGCGGUAACACCGGCAGCCCAAGUGGUAGCCACGAUUAUUGGGUCUAAAGCGUCCGUAGCCGGCCAGGUAAGUUCUUUGGGAAAUUUAACCGCUCAACGGUUAAGCUUUCAGGGAAUACUGCUUGGCUUGGGACCGGGAGAGGUCAGAGGUACUUCAAGGGUAGGGGUGAAAUCCGUUAAUCCUUGAGGGACCACCAGUAGCGAAGGCGUCUGACCAGACCGGGUCCGACGGUGAGGGACGAAGGCUAGGGUCGCGAACCGGAUUGGAUACCCGGGUAGUCCUAGCUGUAAACGAUGCGGGCCAGGUGUUGGCAUUACUGCGAGUGAUGUCAGUGCCGAAGGGAAGCCGUUAAGCCCGCCAUCUGGGGAGUACGGUCGCAAGGCUGAAACUUAAAGGAAUUGGCGGGGGAGCGAAGGUCAGGCUGAAGACCUUACCGGAUUAGCUGAGAGGUGGCGCAUGGCCGUCGACAGUUCGUGUCGUGAAACAUCCUGUUAAGCCAGGCAACGGGCGAGACCCGUGCUCACAGUUGCCAGCAUCUCCGUAAGGAGGAUGGGAACUCUGUGAGGACUGCCGCCGCUAAGGUGGAGGAAGAAGCGGGCCACGGUAGGUCAGUAUGCCCCGAAUCCUCCGGGCUACACGCGUGCUACAAUGGAUAGUACAAUGAGUAUCGACCCCGAAAGGGGAAGGUAAACCCCUAAAACUAUCCUUAGUUGGGAUCGAGGGCUGCAACUCGCCCUCGUGAACCUGGAAUCCGUAGUAAUCGCAUCUCAAAAUGGUGCGGUGAAUAUGUCCCUGCUCCUUGCACACACCGCCCGU
rnacentral:rRNA from 1 species